rnacentral:lncRNA from 1 species
CCGCGGCGGGGGGGCAAUAAAUAGAGGGGGGACAUAGGAAGGCACCGGGUGGGGAGGGCACUGGGCUGUACUGGUCCAUACUGGCAGGACAGAAGGCUGUGUGGGUGAAGAGGUCCCAGUGGGGGUGCCCUACCGGUCCGUACUGGUCCAUACUGGGAGACGCAAGGCCACGUGGGUGAGGAGCUCCCAGUUGAGAUGCCAUACUGGUCCAUACUGGUCCGUACUGGGAUGGCCCAAGGCCACGUGGGUGAAGAGAUUCCAGCUCUGCCGCUGUACUGGUCUGGACUGGGACGGCGCAAGGCCACGCAGGUGAGGAAUCCCGAUGAGGAUGCUGAGAUCUUGGUCAACCUCCUUGGGGGUGUUGGGGUCUUGGCCAACCUCCUUGGGGAUGUCAGGGUCUUCAUCAGCCUUUUUGGGGACACCGGGUCCCCCUCUGGCCUCCCUGGAGGCCUUGGGAUCCUCUGGGAUGUCCCGGGAGACAUGGAGAUCCUCUGUGACACCUCGGUUGGUCUCGGGAUUAUCUGGGACCUCCGACUUCGCUCCACCAUCCUGGGAGAUCUCAGGACUACCUGGCGCACCUUGGGAAACCUUCAGAUCCUCCUGGAUGUUUGUGGAAACCUUAGCAGCAUCUUGGACGUCACUGAUCUUGGGAUCUUCUUGGGCGUUUGUGGGGAUAUUUGGAUCCUCCUGGACAUCUCUGGAGACCUUUGGAUCCUCUUGGAGGUUUCCGCAGCUUUUUGGAGCCUCUAGGACAUCCCCGAGGCCACUCAGCCCCUCAGCGUCGUCUCCAGGCUCCUUCUCCUCUCUCCUAUAGCACCCGGGGGGACCCCAUAGCAACUUGGGCAUGUAUAGCACCAAGGGGCCCCUAUGGCCCCUAAAGAUACCCUAUAGCACCUGAGAGGCUCCUAUAGCACCCAGGAGCUGCUCUAAAGCAUGUGUGGGGGCCCUAUAGCACCUGGGGCCUCUACAGGGACUAGGUGGGUGGCUCUAGUGCCUGGGGGGAGCUCCUAUAGCACUCAAGGGGGUUCCUACAGGUUCUUAGGAUGUUGCAAACACCCCCUUGACCCCCUUGGGAUUCCAAAUCCCCCUCAGGACUGCCCAGAUCCACCCAAAUAUCCCCCAGACCCUUUAGAGCCCCCCAGGACCCCCCAAAUCCCCCCAUCCCCCAUAUCCCUCCCAAAUCCCUC